AUAUAAACACACACACAUACAAGAUGGGCAAGGUGAGAAAAGGAAAGAACAAAUAAGUUGGGGCUCUGAGUCGCUUAAGAAAAGGAACAGGAAGACUAUUCAAAGAAAAUCAGCAUCUCCAAAUGGAGGUCAACAACACUCGAACAGUUCCAAACAAGAGGACUGUUGAAGAAUUUGCUGACAUUGAUACUGCCGAGGAUCGCCUGCCAAAAAAUCCAAGGAUAGCAUCUAAAGUAAUAUCAAUCUAUGAUAAUGAGGUUACACUUGCAAAGUUGGAGUUGGAAAAAGCUCAACAAGAAUAUGAAACUAUUGAAUCUGAGGUAAUAUCAGGCGAGGAUGAUGAGAUUCAUCUUGCACAACUAAAGGUGGAGUUGUUAAAAGCUAAACUAGAUUACCAUGCCAAGCACCUAAUAUAUGUGAAAGAAAAAUAGGACCCCAGUAAUGAAAUAGAUGUAGACAAGUACUUCAAUGCGAGUAUAGAACAAUCAGCAGCCCUAGCAAACUAUGUUGACGCUCAGAUGAAAUUUACAAAAGGAGAACAACGUGUGUCUAUGACCAAGUUGAUAAGGGUAUCACAGGGUACUCUGACUUAAUUAAUGGGGAAGCCGAAAGAAAUGCAUGGUCAGCUGAUACGUAAUCGAUCAAGGGUACCUAGAGUCAAUACUGAUGUGAAGAUAAAUUAUGAUAAUUAUAGAGAAAAGAAUAAGAACACAAAGUAAAUAACACAAUUGUUGUUGCUAACUGCUUCUUCUUUUAUUGCUUAACUUCUUCUUUAAACUGUGAAAGAAAAAUUCUAUUACAAACCAAAAAUAUGGCUGCACUA